GGAGCAAGUGGGGAGCCGUGUGCACUCUGCAGGAAGCGAGAGAGACGAGAGCUGAACAGUGUCGAGUGAACGCAGAGUUCAUAGAGGGCCGACGGACGUAUUUUCGGGUUGACGGAUAGUUAACUGGAGUGAAAAGCUGUUGUACCCUACUGUGAGUAGGAGGAGACGGACGUCUUGCUGGCGUGUCGGAGAAGUCCCUUCUGCUGGUGUGCUGAACUUAUGUGUUCACGUGGGAGCACGUGGCGAGGACGACUGUGAGUGCUGCUGCCGUGGCCUGCUGGUAGCCUUGACCCAGUUUCCCCUGCUAUCCCCUUGAACUGCCUGGAGGUCCCAACGCACCCGAGCCACGACUCAGGCCUGCAACGAGGGGUUGGCUAGCAGAAAGACUGUAGCACUUGAGGUCUGUGUGUGUCGGUGAGAGUGUGUGUGGGCCC
ensembl:lncRNA